rnacentral:rRNA from 1 species
GUGCCUAAUACAUGCAAGUAGAACGCUGAAGAGAGGAGCUUGCUCUUCUUGGAUGAGUUGCGAACGGGUGAGUAACGCGUAGGUAACCUGCCUUGUAGCGGGGGAUAACUAUUGGAAACGAUAGCUAAUACCGCAUAACAAUGGAUGACACAUGUCGUUUAUUUGAAAGGGGCAAUUGCUCCACUACAAGAUGGACCUGCGUUGUAUUAGCUAGUAGGUGAGGUAAUGGCUCACCUAGGCGACGAUACAUAGCCGACCUGAGAGGGUGAUCGGCCACACUGGGACUGAGACACGGCCCAGACUCCUACGGGAGGCAGCAGUAGGGAAUCUUCGGCAAUGGGGGCAACCCUGACCGAGCAACGCCGCGUGAGUGAAGAAGGUUUUCGGAUCGUAAAGCUCUGUUGUAAGUCAAGAACGGGUGUGAGAGUGGAAAGUUCACACUGUGACGGUAGCUUACCAGAAAGGGACGGCUAACUACGUGCCAGCAGCCGCGGUAAUACGUAGGUCCCGAGCGUUGUCCGGAUUUAUUGGGCGUAAAGCGAGCGCAGGCGGUUUGAUAAGUCUGAAGUUAAAGGCUGUGGCUCAACCAUAGUUCGCUUUGGAAACUGUCAAACUUGAGUGCAGAAGGGGAGAGUGGAAUUCCAUGUGUAGCGGUGAAAUGCGUAGAUAUAUGGAGGAACACCGGUGGCGAAAGCGGCUCUCUGGUCUGUAACUGACGCUGAGGCUCGAAAGCGUGGGGAGCGAACAGGAUUAGAUACCCUGGUAGUCCACGCCGUAAACGAUGAGUGCUAGGUGUUGGAUCCUUUCCGGGAUUCAGUGCCGCAGCUAACGCAUUAAGCACUCCGCCUGGGGAGUACGACCGCAAGGUUGAAACUCAAAGGAAUUGACGG